UUACGGUCAUAUCACGUCGAAAUACCGGUUCUUGUGCUGUACUGAAGUUAAGCAACGUCGGGCCUGGCCAGUGCCUAGAUGGGUGAUCGCUUGGGAAUACCAGCUGCUGUAAG